UAAUCUUUUCAUUCCCAUUUUAAUAUUUAUUCUACUCUACUAUAUACACUAUCUUUGGCCAGGGCAAGAUGAAUUGCUUUGCCCUGUGAAAAAUAAUAUAUUGUGAAACCAGCAAUCAAUUGAUGAUGUGAUUUUUUCUCUCCCAAGGAAGCCAGAACACCUUGGAGAAACUUCAAAAGGACUUCUCAAAUAGAAAACUUCUGGUUACAUGGAACAUUGUCCCAUAAAAAUUUGGUGACUUUCAAGGACCAAUAUAUUCGGCAAGUCCAGGAGGAUAAAUUGACAGCAAGGCCAGAUACAGAACAUUUGGUCAAGUGAGCAAACACAGACUACCAACAACAACAAAAAAUCAACAACUAAAAGUGGUGACAUCACAUUUAAGUGAAGCCCUGUCAGAGACUUCUUCCUCACUGCCCACAUCAUUGAGUUAAACAUAAGGAGUGGGGCUGGAAGAAACAAGAACUUGGAGUUCCCAAAGCUGAUUCAUAUUUUGCAUUGGGAGUCGGGAGAGAGCCAUAGGAGUUGUUUUUAGCAUCUCUGUAAUACUCUUGGUAUGAUAUUCAUCAAGCAUGUUUCUGAGUGAUAGAAAUUUUCAAGGUCCCCCUGGAAACUCACUGGGGGCUAUAAGUAAUCAUGAUAAUGGAACCAAACCAAAAUGCUUUUGGGGAGAACUUGCUUCUAAUUCCAAUAGUCCAAGACUUUGGACAGAAGAUUGUAGCCAAAGGGAAAGAAUGCAACCUUUUAUUUAGAAGGAAUUUGUAAAUCAUGAAUAUUUAUAGUUGAAUCAACUUUAGGAAAAACCCCAAUUUUCUGAUUUUUUUUCCAUUCAAGACAAUGGAUUUCAUAAACAAUUCCCCACUUAGUAAAGAAGUAAAAUAUCUCAACUAAUAACAAUGUUGCAUGUGCAUUUUUGGCACCUACAUUCUCAGUACAGAGUUCUCUUUCUCUCUCUCUGUCUCUGUAUCUCUCUCUCUCUCUGUGUAUCUCUCUCUCUCUUGCUAUCUAUCUAUAUACAAAAAUAUGUAUGUGCA